GCCAUAGGGCGUGGUGACACAUGUCUGUAAUCUCAGCUCCUUGGGAGGCUGAAGCAAGGGGAUUGCUUGAGCCCAAGGGUUCUGGGCUGUAGUGCUGUGCCAACGGGGUGUCCACACUAAGUUCAGCAUCAAUAUGGCCGGGAGUGGGAGACCACCAGGUUGCCUAAGGAGGGGUGAACCUGCCCAGGUUGGAAAUGGAGCAGGUCAAAACACCUGUGUUGAUCAGUAGUGGGAUCGUGCCUGUGGCUAGCCACUGCACUUCAGCCUGGGCAACAUAGCAAGACUGUCUCU
rnacentral:SRP_RNA from 10 species